rnacentral:lncRNA from 1 species
AACAAAAAAAAACAAAAACAAUCAACUAAUUACAAAUAUCAUAGUCAGAAGUCACCUCGACAGAGAAACUUUGGGAAUUUCAUCUCACGGGGAAAUUUGGGGAAACCUUGAGGACACAUGAGGCAGUGUAAAGGUCCUUAAGAUACAGUUCCACAGUUCUUAUUGCUAUGAUUGUUAUGUUCACUAUGCAGUUUAACAUGAGGAGCUAUAAAAGCAAUCCAUAGCAAGGCAUCUUCGGAUGGAGACGAAUCCUAAUGGAAUAUGAGACACAAGAUAGAAAUUCACUCGAGAAAAACUUUCUUUUUAACUGUUACAUUUGAUCAGAAACUUACAAACGUAUUCACAACUCAUCUGUUGGCAAUGUAUGCUACUCGCAUAGGUAGGCAGUAAACAUGAUCAUUCAUCCAUCCAUCUAGGGAACUCUUGACGAGUUGAUCUCGAUCUGGGGAUUGGUGAAGUGACUGAGCAAAUUAAUUGGGCUUCUCUUCUAUCUGUAAUCCACCUACCACAAGACGACUGCUCUGAUUUACAAAAACAAAUCAGUCAGAAUCUUUGAUUUGAAUUAAACAACUACAAUACGACUUCAAA